rnacentral:rRNA from 1 species
UAUUUAUUAGAUAACAGACCAAUAUUCCUCGUGUCUAUUGUGGUGACUCAUAGUAACUGAUCGGAUCGCAUGGCCUUGUGCCGCGACUAACCAUUCAAGUUUCUGACCCAUCAGCUUUCGAUGGUAGUGUAUUGGACUACCAUGGCUUUCACGGGUAACGGAGGAUUAGGGUUCGAUUCCGGAGAGGGAGCCUGAGAAACGGCUACCACAUCUAAGGAAGGCAGCAGGCGCGUAAAUUACCCAAUCCUGACUCAGGGAGGUAGUGACAAGAAAUAACGGGUCGGGGCAUUCGCCUCGGGAUUGCAAUGAAUCGAAUUUACACCCCUUAAUGAGGAUCAAUUGGAGGGCAAGUCUGGUGCCAGCAGCCGCGGUAAUUCCAGCUCCAAUAGCGUAUAUUAAAGUUGUUGCAGUUAAAAAGCUCGUAGUUUGAUUUCUGGACGGGCGCCAACACCCGCUUGUUUAGUGUGGAGGCGGCGCCCGCCCAUCCUUCUGUUAACGCCACCGGCAUUCGUUUGCUGGCGGCGGGCUCAGAUAUUUUACCUUGAGAAAAUUAGAGUGUUUCAGGCAGGCUUGCGC